ensembl:lncRNA HOXA-AS2 HOXA cluster antisense RNA 2
UUCUGAACCAGGAAUUGUCUCCAACUCCAGGCGCUCAGGGAAUCGCCUUUUCCGGUGUCCAGGCGCUCUGCAGACAAAUAAACAGCAGAAGCAAAUGGUCACCGAGCCGGCAGUCAGCUUUCUGGGAGUGGGAGAUGAUGGGGAAAGAGGAAAGAAUCGUCCGCUCGCCGGACCCUGGCUUGGAGAAGUUCUGCGCUCCGCUGGGACUCUGCGGGCCCUUUGCGUCUACAGACCUAUCCCUGCCCCGACUACCCCUUCACUCAGACCCAGGGAAGGACACGUUUCUAUGCCUUACAGAGACUUGAAGCCUGAAAGCCUGGCCAAGUUUGGGAAGAAGAGGAGCCCUCUCAGAGCUCAAGAGCCUUCCUACUCUUUGGAACUUUUCCACAGUAGGCCAAGCUUGACAAGAGUUCAGCUCAAGUUGAACAUACAUACACACACUCUCACACACAAAUUAUGUGAGCCGUCAGAAUCCAAGUGAAUCCAGCUCAAGCUAUCUACAAGGUUUUUACAUGCAAGGUCAAGUAUCUCAAUCCAGAGGACUUUUGUUUUCUUAAUGAAAAGCUUAGAAAACACAUGAAUCUUAGAUUUUUAAUGUUUUUUAAAUGGAGUUUAUUCUUAGCACAUGGCUUUCUAUGUAGCCACAUCACAAUUUGUACAGUUCCACAUAAGUCUAAAUGCACUCCCCUCUCCCCAAAGACCGUGCCCCAGAAGGGGACAACAGUAUCUCUGUAACAGUGUCUUAAAUAAAUGCAAGUAAGAAA